rnacentral:rRNA from 1 species
GAUGAACGCUGGCGGCGUGCCUAAUACAUGCAAGUCGAGCGAACAGACGAGGAGCUUGCUCCUCUGACGUUAGCGGCGGACGGGUGAGUAACACGUGGAUAACCUACCUAUAAGACUGGGAUAACUUCGGGAAACCGGAGCUAAUACCGUAUAACAUGUUGAACCGCAUGGUUCAACAGUGAAAGACGGUCUUGCUGUCACUUAUAGAUGGAUCCGCGCCGCAUUAGCUAGUUGGUAAGGUAACGGCUUACCAAGGCAACGAUGCGUAGCCGACCUGAGAGGGUGACGGGCCACACGGAACCGGAGACACGGCCCAGCCCCCUAGGGGAGGCAGCAGGGGGGAACGUUCCGAAAGGGGGGAAACCCUGAAGGGGCAACCCCGGGGGGGUAAAGAAGGUCUUCGAAUCGUAAACCUUUUUUAUUAGGGAAGAAAAAAUGUGUAAGAAACUAUGCACGUUUUGACGGUACCUAAUCAAAAAGCCCCGGCUAACUCCGU